AACCAUUCUAAGAGAAGAAUCAGAAUAUAGUUCAGAAACCAGGGAGGCAAUAGGAUAACCGAAAGUGUGAACACUUUGAUUUCUAACUGGUUAAGGUGCUGAAUUAGAAUAAAGUGAACUAGACUAUUUCCGAUACUAGUUGCAGAAAGGCCUCUCCUUUUGAGAAAGAUGGUGGUUAGUUUUGUCAUAUACCACAGAAAAGCUUGUUGAAAUGGCCCUAUUGCUCAAAAAA
rnacentral:misc_RNA from 1 species